UAAGCGGCGACACUUUCGUCCCCAGUCCUGCUGUCUCCCAUACCUAGCGAUGCGUUGUAGUCCCUCUGCGCUUUUUAGCCGACCCCCUCGCUUGCGAGCUCACUGACCCUGAACGACCCUCAGUCGCUACGCACCGGAAGUGCUUGGCCCUCUUCGCGGCUGUCCCCCGGAAGUGGUUUUCCUCCUUUUCUCCCCCUUUCCCCUUUAGGGGCGGUCCUGCUGGCCCAAAGGGCGGGGUUCACGCGCGGCGUUGUGGCCCGACCCCUGGCUGCUCUUCAGCGCCCCUCUCUACUUGUUCUGUAGGCAUUGCUGGAAAGGCCGGACUGUGGCUUGGGGCAGCGUGCACAGCCUCAGGCUCCUUAGGCUUUGUGACCUUGCGCGGGUUGCCUCACCCCCGGGAACUUCUCCGCUGACAAACCUGCAAAGUGGGAUGCUGACGUGCAAGCUGGUGCUAAACCGUAAAGCUCGUGCCCCUCCCGCACGGGCCUUCAGUAUAUGGCCUCUGUUUCGCUUGCUGGCUCCGGAUAGACUUGAGACCUGGUGGCCAAGCCCGCUGGCAUCCCCUGCGAGCCAGCUUCUCUGUCUAAUCUGAGAAUAAGCGAGGCUGCAAUUCCCGGUGGAAGGUUCUCCAGGUUCCCUUUGUCGAAGGACAGAUUUACCCUGACCGCAGCUACUAUGGGAGAAUCUGAAACAUGUGCCAGUGUCUUGGCCCGAAAGUGAAGGGUGCGGUGGGGGGGGGGGGGCUCCCCAAAUGGCCUUCACGUUGGGCUUUUUCUUCCUCCGGCACUGGGGAUGCCAGGACCUGAGCCCACAGCGCUAGCUGUAAGCCAGAGCCCCCGAUGUGAUGAGUGCGCAGAUUUUGGUGUUCGUGCUCCUAAAUAGCCUUCUGAGAGCGAGCGGGGUCCUGAAGACACCCUAAUGUCUAAGCCUAGUGCGACUCCGUUAGGUGAGGAGGUUUUCACUGCCCUUAGAGUUUCGGGAAGGUGAAGUGUACGUCCGAGGAAAUCGGGGAGGACGAGCUCUCCCUUCUUUCUUCCUUGCACCGCCCCGUGAGCGUGGUGGAGGGUGGUCCUGCCAGGAGAGCAUCCUCCAGGAAGCGUCCUAGGAAGGAAGGCUCCCAGCCUCCUAUCGGGUGUCCUGAAGCAGCAUCUGCCUUUUAAGAGCCCCCUGCUCCCCCUUCCCCCCAUUGCUAUGCACCCUGAAGCUUGUGAAACCCUGGUGUAGCUGGUGGGGUGGUCUGGCUCCAGGUGACGUGGUAGCAUUGCCAGUUCCCGGAGAGACAAAGUCCCCAGAGCCAGAGGCUGGGGCGGUGGUGAGACGGCAACUCUUCCCUGUGUGUGAGCACUGUCGGCAGGCUGAUUCAGAGCGUGCUGAAAACUUGGUCACUGGGCAGCCUGGAUGAGCAGCAUGACCACGGGAGGCUUCGCUUAAAGGAAACCUGAGAUCCCACGCUGUUACCACACCUGCUGGUGCACGUGGCCGGAUGUGGGAGCCCCUCAGUUGGGAAGUUUACAUUGCCUCAGACCCAGCAGACGGCACUAAGGAUAGCUGUUCUUCUGCUGGAGAGAACAUAUGAUUGGUCAGCUAUACAUCUGGAUCCGUCUCUGGUCCAACCACUGAUCACUGAUGAGGCUCUUCAGCACUUCGAACGAGAGAGGCCAGGCUGCCAAGGCGUACUGAGCAUGUCUCGCGUCCUCGGGGUGAGUAGUUUGACAAGGACCGUGUGUAUUUCCAUCUUAAAACUGGGAUACGUUUGUCUCAGUCAUAUCCAUUCGAUUUAAAAUUACUCAGUUUGCAUGUGGAUUGACACACUCAUAGACCACACAUUUAAUUGAUGGGUGUUAAGAUGAGUCAGCACUUCUUUUUCCUGGUUCGUGCUGACAGUUCAAGUCCAGGCUCUACCGCUUAGAGCUGUGUCACCUUGAGAAGGUUACUUGACAUCUCUGUUCCUCAUUUCCUAAUCUAUACAUGAUGGAUAAUGAUUACACCCAAAUUAUAGAAUGCAUCUGAGACUAAAUGACUUAAUGCAGGUAAGGAGCACAGAAUACUGUUUGUCACAUAGUGAGAACUGUAUAAUUACUGUAUUGUCACUAUCCUAAAACAUAAAACAUUAACAUAAAAAACAAGUAAUUCAGCAGAGAAAAUAGUCUAUAAAGUAGUUGUUAAUAUAUACAAGAUGAUGAUUAGACUUAAAAUUCUAAACAUAUCUGAAUCCAAAUGAAUCCAUAUUGCAAAGAACAGAGAACCCUGUCACAUGGUACCAAUUUUAUUAUUCCUAACUGUGAUGGUAGUAAUAUGAAGAAUAUUUAGAUUAUUAGAUCAAACUAAUAUUUAGUUUAUCAUCUAUCACAAAGGUUUCCAUUAUUUUCGAUGUUUUAAAUAUGUUGAAAAACAUGAAUUACAACAAUGAGGAUGAAAUUAAAUGGUGAAAAUGGAAAUGUAGUCAUUUAGAAUAGUUUUUCUGUCUUCAGAUGAAAAAUAGAUCCUGCAGGAAGCUAGGUCCUCGGAACUGAAUACGUUUUAAAAUCUAAUUUGUUUUUCUUGCAGUUUGUAGAUGUGGAAUUGUUAAAAUGUUCAUAUCUUUGAGCUAAUGUGGCAUAACAAAUUUAAUUUGCAAAACAAAGAUGACGUGUCUAGGACAUGAUCCAUAAUCACUUUUUUCCCUCUUUCAGCUUCACGUUGUAGGGGCUCCGCUAGAUAGACUACUCAAGCAUAUUUUGUGACUCUGUAGAAAUUUCCAAAUAAAUAAAGUCUUGGAAAAUCAUAAAAGAAUAGCAUUUUGGAACCAAACAGUUGCUCACAAUUUAUCCUUUUCACCGUUUCUAAGUUGUGUCGAGUUGUUGGAAUGUCUGGGGUGCUGUGGGCUCGUAAUUCACUGGGAAGCCUUCAUGCCACGGUGAUCGGAUCCGUGGGAAGGGA